UUUUAAAAGGGGUUAAGGCACAGGGAAAAGGGAAAAAGGGAUUUCGUUAGAUAGAGGAAGUUAUGACUCACAUCGGGCAGAAGAGGAGAGGAUGGGUGCACGAUUUCGACGAAGGACGGCUUGGGAAAGGCAAGUAUUCGCCCUAUGUAGAUGUAGGUGACGGGAGUGGCAUUGAGACGGUAUUAGAGGACACGAAGGUGGAGUGACCGAAAGGAGGGGAUGGAUUAACAAGCCACAUUGUCCAGGGCCACUAUGCAUGAUUUUCAAUCAAAACCUUUGAUUGUAUUGAGAUUGAGAACUUUUGCUUGAAUAAAUAAAAAUUUUGGAAAAAAAUUCGUUGUUAUUGCUAUGUCCAAGUUAUGAAUCAUAGAUACGGGUUGUUUCAGCAUCUCUAUUUCCAUUUUCUUCCCAUCUGAUCUGUGGCCAUGACACUCAUUCGAUCGGCAUAUGGGUUGCAGAACCAAUCGAUAGCACUACAACCUUGCUAAAUUCCAACUAGUAAGUGCAGAUUUGGAGUUCUCGACAGAGAGGGCAGUAGCUUCACCUCCAGUUGUAAUUUUCGGUAGUAGCUUCUCUAGUCGAAUGUCCACAUACAUGUCUCUAGAUUUUGGGAUCGAAUUUGGUGAAGGAUUCAUGUUCGAGGCCAAAUCUACAAGCGAAGCUAGAGAGGAAGGCACUGUACCUGAACCUCACAUGGCCUUGUCAUGGGGGGUUGACCAGGCCGUGUGGAGAUCCUUGGCCGUGUGGUUGCAUCAGAAAAGGAAGUGGCCUCGGUCGUGUGAACCUUACACGACAAUGCCAAGAUUUGAAGCCAAAAGAAGCUUCGGCCGUGUACACCACACGGUCGUGCAAGGUUUCCAGAGACCAAGAAGGCCCUGGCCGUGUACACCACACGACCAUACAAGGUUUCCAGAGAACAAGAAGACCCUAGCCGUGUGCACCACAUGGUUGUGCAAGGUUUCCAAAGGCAAAGGCAGUACAGGCCGUGUAGAUCUACACGACCAUGCAAAGGGAGUUGUGGAAGAAGCAUGUCACAACCAUGUAUCACACAUGGUCGUGUAAGGUAGGCAGAGAAAGAAGUGGCCCUAGUCGUGGGAAUCUCACACGGUCGUGCCUUGGGGCCGUGUGGCGCCCAAACCUCCUCUAUAUAAGGCCUCCUUCAUGAAUUGAAAAGGGAUCUUCUCCCUUUUGUGGAGAAAGGAGUUUUGGGGCGUUCCUCCACUUUCUUGGAGGGAUUUCUAGCGAUCUAAGAGCAGAUCUUCAUCGUUUUGACUCCGAGGAACGAGGAUUGGAUCCGAAGACGGUUCUUCAUUGUAGAUAAGCUUUUCUUCCUUUUCUUUCUUGGAUUUAGGAUCAAGAUGCUUGUAUUCUUCUU